UACGAAGGGUGCAAGCGUUAAUCGGAAUUACUGGGCGUAAGGCGUGCGCAGGCGGUUUUGCAAGACAGAUGUGAAAUCCCCGGGCUUAACCUGGGAACUGCAUUUGUGACUGCAAGGCUAGAGUGUGUCAGAGGGAGGUGGAAUUCCGCGUGUAGCAGUGAAAUGCGUAGAGAUGCGGAGGAACACCGAUGGCGAAGGCAGCCUCCUGGGAUAACACUGACGCUCAUGCACGAAAGCGUGGGGGAGCAAACAGG
rnacentral:rRNA from 1 species